CCCUUAGAUGUUCUGGGCUGCACGCGCGCUACACUGAUGCGCUCAACGAGUUUUAACCUUGCCUGGAAAGGUUGGGUAAUCUUUUUAAAACGCAUCGUGAUGGGGAUAGAUUAUUGCAAUUAUUAAUCUUCAACGAGGAAUUCCUAGUAAGCGCGAGUCAUCAGCUCGUGCUGAUUACGUCCCUGCCCUUUGUACACACCGCCCGUCGCUCCUACCGAUGGAGUGAUCCGGUGAAUAAUUCGGACUGCGGCAUUGACCGGUUCCCGAUCGUUGCUGCGGAAAGUUUAGUGAACCUUAUCACUUAGAGGAAGGAGAAGUCGUAACA
rnacentral:rRNA from 1 species